rnacentral:rRNA from 1 species
GGCUAACGCUGGCGGCGUGUCUUAGCCAUGCAAGUCGAGCGGACUUAUGGGGUAACUUAUAAGUCAGCGGCGGACGGCGGAGUAACACGUAGCUAACCUACCCUCUGGACGGGGAUAACCUACCGAAAGGUGGGCUAAUACCCGAUGUAGUCAUCCUGUAUAGGGGUGAUGAAAGGUGGGCUUCUGUUUACAAGCUCAUGCUGGAGGAGGGGGCUGCGGCCUAUCAGGUAGUUGGUAGGGUAAUAGCCUACCAAGCCGAUGACGGGUAGCCGGCCUGAGAGGGUGACCGGCCCGAGGGGCACUGAGAUACGGGUCCCACUCCUACGGGAGGCAGCAGGCUAGAAAUUUGGGCAAUGGGGAAACCCUGACCCAGUGACGCCGCGUGCAGGAAGGAGCCCUUCGGGGUGUAAACUGCUGUCGUGUAGGGAGAAGGGUACUAAGGUGAACAAUCUUAGUACUUGACGGUACUACAGGAGGAAGCCCAGGCUAACCUCGUGCCAGCAGCCGCGGUAAAUAGCGUACU